rnacentral:lncRNA from 1 species
UUAGUUUUAUGAACGAAAUUAGAUGUCGGGACGUUUUGUUAAAAGCGGCAUAUGUCGUCGCAUACCGCUUUUUUUUUUGGCAAUUGCACAUAAUACAAUGAGCAACGCUAUAGCCUAUUCGGUUCAUCAAAAUGCGCUUUUUACCCUAUACAUGGAUGUGUACAGCUCAGCGCGCAGUCGGACAGAAGGCCGAGCAGCUUAAGUGGGAAAACGUCCAGCUUUACCGGAAGAUUGACUGGCCGAUUUUGAGGAGCAGGGAAACUCCAUCCAUAUUGAAGCACAUCUGGGCAUGGAUUGGAGAGGCCUGCUGUGCUGCUGCCCACACACCGCUGCAGUGACGCGCUUUGGCCGCCGGAGGGCAGCGCGGGACUGGAACCCACUGCCUGUGGAGGAAGGGAAGGUGCCGAGGAGCGAGGCGGUUGUGUGAGAUCGCCGGACUACAGUUCAUCUCACGGAGGGCUAUGAUUACUCACGUAGCUCUGCGGCGAGCAGACGAGAACGUGCCUGAAUCAGCCUGGCGGCGCCUCCACUUCGCUCUGCCAGUGAGGGAGAAACACAGAGUGACGUGGAGAGAGAGAAAAAGAGAGCAAAAAUGACAGAGAAACAGUAAAAAAGGUGAAGGGGGACGUGAGUCUCUUGAUGAGGCGAUACCUUGUCCGUACACACCAACACAAACUGUGCUGAGGUAAUGAUAUGCUAAUGAGAUGCAAAUGAUAUGCAAAUCCAGCAGCAGUAUUCCAUAUCAGCGGUGUGAGAGGAUUUCAGUGAGGCCCUUCACCAGUGGGUGGAAAGGAAAGACCUCCUGAUCUCACUGUACACACACACACACACCGAAUGGAUGCACUCACACUCAUUUUCCCAUCUGAUUGUGAAGUUUGGUGAAUCUAGGCUGAAAAAAGAAGUGUUGAAAAGUACUAUUCCUCCCGUCUGCCUAUUUCUGUUAUUCUGAUUCAUGCAGUACUGGAAUUUCUAUCUUAUACAAUACCUUAUUGGCAUAAAACGUUAACACUAAUCAAAACAAGUUGCUAUGAUAUUAUAUAUUAUUGUUUAUACAUAUGAAUAAUACAGAUUAACUUUAGUGGACAACAUUUUUUAUAUGUGACAAUGAUUAAUUAAAAUUUAUUAAUAAAACAGUUUACUGAUUUUAACAAU